GGACGCUACUGAUAUGAACUCGGGACCGCUUCGUUCACACCGAGGAGGUCACUGGUUCGAUCCCAGUAUCGCCCACCA
rnacentral:tRNA from 1 species